GGUCUGGCUGGCCGGUCCGCCUCACCGCGUGUACUGGUCCGGCCGGGCCUUUCCUUCUGGAGAGCCCCAUGCCCUUCACUGGGUGUGCGGGGGAACCAGGACUUUUACUUUGAAAAAAUUAGAGUGUUUAAAGCAGGCUUACGCUUGAAUACAUUAGCAUGGAAUAAUAGAAUAGGACUU
rnacentral:rRNA from 1 species